CCCAAAGUGCAACAUUCCCAGCAAAGUCAUUUUUUGGCAUUUUUCCCUCAGCACCCCGUUCUCCUGGAAUUCCCAACUCUUGCUUCUCCAAGGGGCAAAAAAGGGAGGAACCCUGAGGCAAAAAUGGCUUUUUUUUGUAUUUUUGUGUGUGUGUGUGUGUGUAUUAAUCUUCCAUCCCAGAAUCCCAGAGGGAUCCUGGGAUUUUCUCUUUGAAAUUUAGAGAGAUUUUGGGAUUUUCUGUUUGAAUCUCAGAGGGAUCCUGGGAUUUUUUAUGGAUAAAUCUCCCAGAUUCCCCAAGAUUUUCUAUGGAUAAAUCUCAGAUUUCCCAGGAUUUCCUGUUUGAGUAUCAGAGAGAUCCUGAGAUUUUCUCUUUGAAACUCAGAGAGAUUUUGGGAUUUUCUGCAGAUGAAUCUCAGAGACCCCCCCCCCCCCCCCCCCCCCCCCCCCCCCCCCCCCCCCCCCCCCCCCCCCCCCCCCCCCCCCCCCCCCC
rnacentral:lncRNA from 1 species